CGUGCUAAUCUGCGAUAAGCGCCGGUAAGGUGAUAUGAACCGUUAUAACCGGCGAUACCCGAAUGGGGAAACCCAGUGUGACUCGUCACACUAUCAUUAACUGAAUCCAUAGGUUAAUGAGGCGAACCGGGGGAACUGAAACAUCUAAGUACCCCGAGGAAAAGAAAUCAACCGAGAUUCCCCCAGUAGCGGCGAGCGAACGGGGAGGAGCCCAGAGCCUGAAUCAGCAUGUGUGUUAGUGGAAGCGUCUGGAAAGGCGCGCGAUACAGGGUGACAGCCCCGUACACAAAAGCGCAUGUGCUGUGAGCUCGAUGAGUAGGGCGGGACACGUGGUAUCCUGUCUGAAUAUGGGGGGACCAUCC
rnacentral:rRNA from 1 species